rnacentral:rRNA from 1 species
UACGAAGGGGUCUAGCGUUGCUCGGAAUGACUGGGCGUAAAGGGCGCGUAGGCGGUUUGUACAGUCAGAUGUGAAAUUCCCGGGCUCAACCUGGGGGCUGCAUUUGAUACGUGCGGACUUGAGUGGGGAAGAGGGUCGUGGAAUUCCCAGUGUAGAGGUGAAAUUCGUAGAUAUUGGGAAGAACACCGGUGGCGAAGGCGGCGACCUGGUCCUUGACUGACGCUGAGGCGCGCAAGCGUGGGGAGCAAACAGG